rnacentral:misc_RNA from 1 species
GAUGAAGAACGCAGCGAAAUGCGAUAAGUAAUGUGAAUUGCAGAAUUCAGUGAAUCAUCGAAUCUUUGAACGCACAUUGCGCCCCCUGGUAUUCCGGGGGGCAUGCCUGUUCGAGCGUCAUUUCACCACUCAAGCCUCGCUUGGUAUUGGGCAACGCGGUCCGCCGCGUGCCUCAAAUCGACCGGCUGGGUCUUCUGUCCCCUAAGCGUUGUGGAAACUAUUCGCUAAAGGGUGUUCGGGAGGCGACGCCGUAAAACAACCCCAUUUCUAAGGUUGACCUCGGAUCAGGUAGGGAUACCCGCUGAACUUAAGCAUAUCAAUAAGCGGAGGA